AGUGAACGCUGGCGGUAGGCCUAACACAUGCAAGUCGAACGGCAGCACAGUAAGAGCUUGCUCUUACGGGUGGCGAGUGGCGGACGGGUGAGGAAUACAUCGGAAUCUACUUUUUCGUGGGGGAUAACGUAGGGAAACUUACGCUAAUACCGCAUACGACCUACGGGUGAAAGCAGGGGAUCUUCGGACCUUGCGCGAUUGAAUGAGCCGAUGUCGGAUUAGCUAGUUGGCGGGGUAAAGGCCCACCAAGGCGACGAUCCGUAGCUGGUCUGAGAGGAUGAUCACCCACACUGGAGCUGAGCCACGGUCCAGGCUCCUACGGGAGGCAGCAGUGGGGAAUAUUGGACAAUGGGCGCAAGCCUGAUCCAGCCAUACCACGUGGGUGAAGAAGGCCUUCGGGUUGUAAAGACCUUUUGUUGGGAAAGAAAAGCAGCAGGUUAAUACGCCGCUGUUGUGACGGUACCCAAAGAAUAAGCACCGGCUAACUUCGUG
rnacentral:rRNA from 1 species